GACAGAGGGUGCAAACGUUGUUCGGAUUUACUGGGCGUAAAGCGCGUGUAGGCGGCUUGGCAAGUUGGAUGUGAAAGCCCACGGCUCAACCGUGGAAGCGCAUCCAAAACUGCCUCGCUCGAGUCUCGGAGAGGAAGGUGGAAUGCUUGGUGUAGAGGUGAAAUUCGUAGAUAUCAAGCAGAACACCUGCGGCGAAGGCGGCCUUCUGGACGAUGACUGACGCUGAGACGCGAAAGCGUGGGGAGCAAACAGG
rnacentral:rRNA from 1 species